AGUCGAGGGGCACAGGUUUGUAGCAAUACAAAUGCUGGCGACCGGCAAACGGGUGCGGAACACGUACGCAACCUCCCUUUAACUGGAAGAUAGCCCACCGAAAGGUGGAUUAAUACUCCAUAAUAUAACUGAAUGGCAUCAUUUAGAUAUUAAAGCUCCGGCGGUUAAAGAUGGGCGUGCGUCUGAUUAGGUAGUUGGCGGGGUAACGGCCCACCAAGCCUGCGAUCAGUAGCUGAUGUGAGAGCAUGAUCAGCCACACGGGCACUGAGACACGAGCCCGACUCCUACGGGAGGCAGCAGUAAGGAAUAUUGGUCAAUGGACGCAAGUCUGAACCAGCCAUGCCGCGUGGAGGAUGAAGGCCCUCUGGGUUGUAAACUUCUUUUCUUUGGGACGAAACCCCUGUUUCUACGGGGACUGACGGUACCAGAGGAAUAAGCACCGGCUAACUCCGUGCCAGCAGCCGCGGUAAUACGGAGGGUGCAAGCGUUAUCCGGAUUCACUGGGUUUAAAGGGAGCGUAGGUGGACUUUUAAGUCAGUGGUGAAAUCUCUGGGCUUAACCCGGAAACUGCCAUUGAUACUAUUAGUCUUGAAUUCUCUGGAGGUAAGCGGAAUAUGUCAUGUAGCGGUGAAAUGCUUAGAUAUGACAUAGAACACCCAUUGCGAAGGCAGCUUACUAC
rnacentral:rRNA from 1 species